UACGGAGGGGGCUAGCGUUGUUCGGAAUUACUGGGCGUAAAGCGCACGUAGGCGGCUUUGUAAGUUAGAGGUGAAAGCCCAGGGCUCAACCCUGGAAUUGCCUUUAAGACUGCAUCGCUAGAAUUGUGGAGAGGUAAGUGGAAUUCCGAGUGUAGAGGUGAAAUUCGUAGAUAUUCGGAAGAACACCAGUGGCGAAGGCGACUUACUGGACACAUAUUGACGCUGAGGUGCGAAAGCGUGGGUAGCAAACAGG
rnacentral:rRNA from 1 species